rnacentral:rRNA from 1 species
GAUGAACGCUGGCGGCGUGCCUAACACAUGCAAGUCGAACGGAAAGACAAUGAGCUUGCGCCUUUAACGUUAGCGGCUGGCGGGUGAGUAACGCGUGUAUCACCUACUUAUAUUUCGGGGAUCACUACGUAAAACCGGAUAUAAUACCACAGCAUAUAUUGAACCGCAGUGUUCAAUGGAGAAUUUCGGCUUUUGUGGCUGUUAUAGCUGAUUCCGGGCUUGAUGAGCUGGUUGGUAGGGUAACAGCCUACCAAGGCUACGAGGCGUAGCCGAACUGAGAGGGUGAUAGGCCACACUGGAACUGAGACACGGUCCAGACUACUACGAGAGGCAGCAGUCGGGAAUAUUAGGCAAUGGGCGAAAGCCUGACGCAGCAAGGCCGAGUGAGUGACGAAGGCCUUCGGAUCGUAAAGCCCUGUUAUUGGGGAAGAACAGCUGUCGACUUAGACAUAGCGGUAUUGACGGUAACGAAUAAAAAAGCACCGGCUAACUACGUG